rnacentral:rRNA from 1 species
UACAGAGGUCUCAAGCGUUGUUCGGAUUCAUUGGGCGUAAAGGGUGCGUAGGUGGCGCUGUAAGUCGGGUGUGAAAUUUCGGAGCUUAACUCCGAAACUGCAUUCGAUACUGCGGUGCUUGAGGACUGGAGAGGAGACUGGAAUUCAUGGUGUAGCAGUGAAAUGCGUAGAUAUCGUAAGGAAGACCAGUGGCGAAGGCGGGUCGUCUGGACAGUUCCUGACACUGAGACACGAAGGCCAGGGGAGCAAACGGG